rnacentral:rRNA from 1 species
UACAGAGGGUGCGAGCGUUGUCCGGAAUCACUGGGCGUAAAGGGCGCGUAGGCGGCUUGAUAAGCGUGCGGUGAAAGCCCGGGGCUCAACCCGGGUCGGCCGUGCGAAACUGUCGAGCUGGAGCACUGUAGAGGCAGGUGGAAUUCCGGGUGUAGCGGUGGAAUGCGAGAGAUCCGGAAGAACACCGGUGGCGAAGGCGGUUAGCUGGGGCAGUUGCUGACCACUGAGGCGCGCAGCGUGGGGGAGCAAACAGGG